UGUUUCACACAGAAUUAGAUGCAGGAGGAAACAAACUCAAUGGGACUUCCAAUAUAAAGGAGGCACUGGAAGGAGCUUACUGAAUUCUGUCCGCGUAUGUCAUAGAACCAAUGUUUCUGAUUGAAGUGCAGAAGGGUCAGCAAUUCUUAUUAUUCAGACUUAAAAGUGAAUUUUAAUGUUUCUGAAAGGAACUAGAUUGACAGCCAGUGGAAGCGAAGUCCUUCUUCCGUCUGCAAAAGAAGAUUUGAAGAGCAUUUGAUCACUUGUGAAUGUGCUUGCAUGCUGGAAUGGAGUUACUGCUCAGUUUUCCUUUGGAGGAGAUUGCUCUAUUUCAGUCUCUCACUGCAAGAUGUUUUGUCUAAUCACUGAGCAAUUUUUGAGGCUUCGUUUUUCCUGUUGUUUUUUUUUUUUUCCUUUUCUUUUUUUGUGUGUAUGUUUUUUAUUUGUUUUAAACACCACCUUUGAUUUUUCAACUUGCUUUUGAGACAGUGAACAUCAGAAGGGGAUCCAGUAUUGCAGCAUUUAUUACAGUGAGAAUAUAUUUAGAGAUAUAACUACUUUUCUACUCCUUUGCUUUUAUAUGAGCAUUUUUUUAAGUACAGGCUGUAUUCUUUUUUUCUCUAAAUCUAUGAAGUUAAUUGUAUUAAAAUGUGCUCGAUUUAGAACAUCUGCUUUACCACGUGUACUAUAAAAUACAGUACUUAAAGCAAGUUAUUUAUAGUUUAUUAUUAUAUGCUUUCAAGGUGAUAAGAUUCAGUAAGUGAACUUUGGAAAAUAUUCAUGUGAAUUAAAUGAGCUUCAGAACUUUUUUUUAAGUAUUGCUGUCAUAAGUAAUGUAAUAUUUUGAAUAUGGUUAUAUAAAUAGAUAAAAGCAGUUUGUAUGGUGUCCAAACAUUACUUGCUCUUUGCAAAAACGUUUUGAAUGAAGUUUUUAUAUUUGAUUUGCAGUGUUAGCAUGAAUUAAAUCCAUAAAUAAAGCAGUUGAAAAAGAUAACUGAUGUUGUAGAAAUACCUUCUGACCUAAGCAGCAGUUUGAUUUUGGAUUUCUUCGUAUCCCACGUUCUCUCAGCUCUUAUGUUUAAACUUAUGAAUUUGUAGCCUGCUGCUGAUUUUUUUACAUUUCCAAAAGAUAGUUUUGUGAAUA